ACCAAACCGGCAGCAUACCAUGCAGUCGAGCGGGGUGAUGUAGCUUGCUACAUUACCUAGCGGCGGACGGGUGAGUAAUGCUUAGGAAUCUGCCUAUUAGUGGGGGACAACAUUCCGAAAGGAAUGCUAAUACCGCAUACGCCCUACGGGGGAAAGCAGGGGAUCUUCGGACCUUGCGCUAAUAGAUGAGCCUAAGUCAGAUUAGCUAGUUGGUGGGGUAAAGGCCUACCAAGGCGACGAUCUGUAGCGGGUCUGAGAGGAUGAUCCGCCACACUGGGACUGAGACACGGCCCAGACUCCUACGGGAGGCAGCAGUGGGGAAUAUUGGACAAUGGGCGAAAGCCUGAUCCAGCCAUGCCGCGUGUGUGAAGAAGGCCUUUUGGUUGUAAAGCACUUUAAGCGAGGAGGAGGCUACCGAGAUUAAUACUCUUGGAUAGUGGACGUUACUCGCAGAAUAAGCACCGGCUAACUCUGUGCCAGCAGCCGCGGUAAUACAGAGGGUGCGAGCGUUAAUCGGAUUUACUGGGCGUAAAGCGUGCGUAGGCGGCUUUUUAAGUCGGAUGUGAAAUCCCUGAGCUUAACUUAGGAAUUGCAUUCGAUACUGGGAAGCUAGAGUAUGGGAGAGGAUGGUAGAAUUCCAGGUGUAGCGGUGAAAUGCGUAGAGAUCUGGAGGAAUACCGAUGGCGAAGGCAGCCAUCUGGCCUAAUACUGACGCUGAGGUACGAAAGCAUGGGGAGCAAACAGGAUUAGAUACCCUGGUAGUCCAUGCCGUAAACGAUGUCUACUAGCCGUUGGGGCCUUUGAGGCUUUAGUGGCGCAGCUAACGCGAUAAGUAGACCGCCUGGGGAGUACGGUCGCAAGACUAAAACUCAAAUGAAUUGACGGGGGCCCGCACAAGCGGUGGAGCAUGUGGUUUAAUUCGAUGCAACGCGAGAACCUUACCUGGUCUUGACAUAGUAAGAACUUUCCAGAGAUGGAUUGGUGCCUUCGGGAACUUACAUACAGGUGCUGCAUGGC
rnacentral:rRNA from 2 species